rnacentral:lncRNA from 1 species
CACAGUGGUGAGAUCAUUGCUCACUGCAGUCUCAACCUCCUGGGCUCAAGCAAUCCUCCUACUUCAGCCUCCUGAGUAACUGGGACUGCAGGAGCCAUGCUCACCCCGAAUGAGCUUCCACCAGCUCAGGCUGCAUGGUUUCAACAAGAGGAAUUUGUUUCUCACAGUUCUGGAGGCUGGAAUUCCAAGAUCAAGGGCCUAUGACCAUGUCUGAUGUUCAGGGAAUGAAGGAGUGAAGAAAGCAGGAAUGAAUGAAGGAAGGAAGCAGCUCCAGCAAUUGGUUCCCAGGUGAGAAGCUGGUGGGGUUCUGACUUCUACCCCGAUUCACACCCUUUUCUCCUGCCCUCAGGGCGGUCCUUCUCCUGCUCUUGUUCAUUCAUCCCCUUCAGCCCUUUCGUAUUCUCUUCUGUAGCCGAACCACACACAAAAAAAUACAUUAGAAAUGUU